rnacentral:rRNA from 1 species
GACGAACGCUGGCGGCGUGCCUAAUACAUGCAAGUCGAACGAAUUUUCUUUCACCGUACCUUGCUACACCGAACGAAAAUGAGGGGCGAACGGGGUAGUAACACGUGGUUAACCUGCCCAUCAGCGUGGGAUAACACUUGGAAACAGGUGCUAAUACCGCAUAAUUCCAUUUUCUGCAUGGUAGGUGGAUGUAGGGGGCUUUUGCGGCACUGAUCGAUGGACCCGCGGUGCAUUAGCUAGUUGGGGGGGUAAAGGCCUACCAAGGCUACGAAUCAUAGCCGGACUGGGGAGGUGAUCGGCCACACUGGGACUGAGACCACGCCCAGGCUUCUUAGGGAAGCCGGAGGAGGGAAACUUCGGCCAUGGACGCAAGGCUGGCCGAACAAAGCCGCCGGAGUGAAGAAGGUUCUCGGAUCCGAAAACUCCGUUGUUAGAAAAGAACAAGGAUGAGAGUGGAAAGUUCAUCCCUUGACGGUAUCUAACCAGAAAGCCACGGCUAACUACGUG